rnacentral:rRNA from 1 species
CCUACGGGAGGCAGCAGUAAGGAAUAUUGGUCAAUGGACGAAAGUCUGAACCAGCCAUGCCGCGUGAAGGAUGAAGGCCCUCUGGGUUGUAAACUUCUUUUAUCUGGGACGAAAAAAGGGAAUUCUUUCCCACUUGACGGUACCAGAGGAAUAAGCACCGGCUAACUCCGUGCCAGCAGCCGCGGUAAUACGGAGGGUGCAAGCGUUAUCCGGAUUUACUGGGUUUAAAGGGUGCGUAGGUGGGUAGGUAAGUCAGUGGUGAAAUCUCCGAGCUUAACUCGGAAACUGCCAUUGAUACUAUCUAUCUUGAAUAUCCUGGAGGUGAGCGGAAUAUGUCAUGUAGCGGUGAAAUGCUUAGAUAUGACAUAGAACACCAAUUGCGAAGGCAGCUCACUACGGGAUUAUUGACACUGAGGCACGAAAGCGUGGGGAUCAAACAGGAUUAGAUACCCUGGUAGUCCACGCCCUAAACGAUGGAUACUCGACAUACGCGAUACACUGUGUGUGUCUGAGCGAAAGCAUUAAGUAUCCCACCUGGGAAGUACGAUCGCAAGAUUGAAACUCAAAGGAAUUAGACGG